AUUCUACCUGUUGUUUUUAAAUGGGAAUAUCAUAUUAAGUUCCACCUAACCGGAAUACGUACAAAAUCGUUUGUCAGACGAGAAUAUUUUCCGAAUAGCCUAGAAAGUACAAUUAAUAUUACAGUCAAAGUUUUUUUUAAAUUUUAAUGAAUUCGGACUCUUUUAAUACGUUCCUUUUUAAGCCCUUUUUUAUUUUUUGUAUUGCUUAUAUGGGUGAACGAGCUCACGACUCAUCUGAUGUUCAGUGGAUACCGGAGACCACAGACAUCUACAAUACAACGUAAAUGCGGCCACCCACUUUGAGACACGAGUCCUAAGGUCUCACUUUUAAAUACGGCUGCCCCGCCCUUCAAACCGAAACGCAUUGCUGCUUCACGGCAGAAUUAGGCAGGGUGGUGGUACCUACCCGUGCGGACUCACAAGAAGUCCUAUCACCAGUAAUUACGUAAAUUAUAAUUUUGCGGGUUUGAUUUUUAUUACACGAUGUAGUUCCUUCACCGUGGACAAGAAUAAUUAAAGUAAAGCGGAAAUGUAACUGUAAAUGUAUUACAGGCAGCAGUAAGGUCUAUCUAUCUAUCUAUCUAUCUAUCUCUUAGGUUUAUGGCAAAGAAGUAAACUCUACAUUUACGAUAUAUAAAAUAUCCACGCCUCGUACUCGAAUCAUAUCAGUAGUAUAACUCACGACAUAACUGGAUAGUACAUACAUUCAUAUCGCACUCUAUAAUGAUGACAGCAUUCCCGGGUUUGGUCUCCAGGACACACAGCUCGUAGACUUUUGAGUUGUACUUUAUAGCGAUGACAUCACCGGUUGUUAAACAUGAGAAGUUACGCAAACAAUUUUCCAAUACUGUGAAGAAUAAUAAAACUUCUGAAAUGCUUAUCCACGUUAUACUAUAUCACAUUAAACGUAUCACAUAUUGUUAGAAAACAAAAAACACCAUAAAGGCUGAAUGAUGGAUUAGGUAGUUUGUCUGGUUUGUAGUACCAAUUCGUGUCUGCUCAAACAGACCAAUAUACAUUAGAAAUGUAUUGUUUUUUUUUGCUUAGAUGGGUGGACGAGCUCACAGCCCACCUGGUGUUAAGUGGUGACUGGUGCCCAUAGACAUCUACGACGUAAGUGUGCCACCCACCUUGAGAUAUAAGUUCUAAGGUCUCAAGUAUAGUUACAACAGCUGCCCCACCCUUCAAACCGAAACGCAUUACUGCUUACAGUUAUAUGGUGGAAUGUUAAUUAAAUUGAGUUCCCAGUCAGUCAGUUUAAGUUUUUGUAAAGGCCCUGUCAUGUUUGAAAAUAUUACAACCACAUACUUCAGUAAAAAUGUGACUCAAUCUUAGCAAAUUCUACAUAAUAAUUAAUGUAUGAAUUGAUCAUUUGUAUGCACACAUACCAGCUUUCGGAUUUGUAAUGUCCAAAAAAUCUUCUGAUAAAGGUUGGAACUUAGAGAAUGUUGCUACAGGUAGUGAUACACUUUCAAUUUGUAUUAAAGCUCCUUCUUCUAGAACAAGAUUUGCCAUCAUCUAAAAAAUAAAUUUUUGUUACUAAUCUAAAAUGACAGUUUUAGUUUAUUAGUAUUUAGUAUUAGAGUAGGUAGUAGCAUUCUCGUUGUAAUGUCUAUGGUAUCCAAUAAAUACUAAACACAAGGAAGCAUGUGAGUUCUACAGCUAAUCUUAAAAAAAAUAAGUCACUGAUAUUAUCAACUAAUAUUUUGAAUUUAUUAACUUGUAACCUAAUUUAUUCUAGUUAGUAGGUAAUUUUAAACUAACUUCCUGAUGACCAAGAGAUUGAAUAUAUUUCAUUUAUUUAAAAUUUGAAUAUAUUUUGCAAUAUCCCAUAAUAUUUCCUACAUAACAAAAAUGGAGCAAAUGUGCAUUUUUAGUUGUUUUUAAUGGGGUUUCUAUGAACAUACAAUCAGUGGUCCAGGAAAGAGAGGAAGUCCUAAAGCUACAGUGACUAGUUUUUACUAGGUUGGUGUGUCUCCUACUUGAUCAUCAUUAUCAUUAACAGUGAGUGAGUUAAAUGAAACUGGGAGCAGUCACUGUUCAAACUACUUCAUUGGAACACUCUUCGAGAAUACAUUUUUUAAGAGCAAUAUUAUGUGUCUGUGUGCUACCUCCCAUUGACAGUUUAUGCACUCAAGAGACGAUCUUAGAUGUUAAUGACUGUUAUUGUAUGUUAUAUUACAUUUGCUUACCAUUUCAAAAGUUAUAAACAUGAUUAUGAACAUUUU